rnacentral:rRNA from 1 species
GACGAUCAUGCCUUUGUACACACCGCCCGUCGCUACUACCGAUUGAAUGGUUUAGCAAGGUCCUCGGAUUGGUGAUGUUGAGUGACUUUUGUCACAUGAACUGUGCCAAGAAGACGACCGAACUUGAUCAUUUAGAGGAAGUAAAAGUCGUAACAAGGUUUCCGUAGGUGAACCUGCGGAAGGAUCAUUACAAAUCCCUAAUUAUUAAACCAUUAUUAU